rnacentral:rRNA from 1 species
UGAGAGGGUGAACGGCCACAUUGGGACUGAGACACGGCCCAGACUCCUACGGGAGGCAGCAGUGGGGAAUAUUGCACAAUCGGGGAAACCCUGAUGGAGUGACGCCGCGUGAGCGUUGAAGUUUUUCGGUAUGUAAAGCUCUAUCAGCAGGGAAGAAAAUGACGGUACCUGACUAAGAAGCACCGGCUAAAUACGUGCCAGCAGCCGCGGUA